rnacentral:rRNA from 1 species
CAGUAGCCGCGGGAAUACAGAGGGUGCGAGCGUUAAUCGGAUUUACUGGGCGUAAAGCGUGCGUAGGCGGCUUUUUAAGUCGGAUGUGAAAUCCCUGAGCUUAACUUAGGAAUUGCAUUCGAUACUGGGAAGCUAGAGUAUGGGAGAGGAUGGUAGAAUUCCAGGUGUAGCGGUGAAAUGCGUAGAGAUCUGGAGGAAUACCGAUGGCGAAGGCAGCCAUCUGGCCUAAUACUGACGCUGAGGUACGAAAGCAUGGGGAGCAAACAGGAUUAGAUCCCCAGUAGUCCCUGUCUCUUAUACC